CCCUUAGAUGUUCUGGGCUGCACACGCGCUACACUGAAGGGAUCAGCGUGAUCUUUUCCUGGUCCGAAAGGAUCGGGUAACCCGCUGAACCCCCUUCGUGGUAGGGAUCGGAGCUUGCAAUUAUUCUCCGUGAACCAGGAAUUCCCAGUAAGCGCAAGUCAUAAGCUUGCGUUGAUUACGUCCCUGCCCUUUGUACACACCGCCCGUCGCUACUACCGAUUGGACGUUUUAGUGAGGAUUUUGGACUGAGCCAAUGGUGGUUCACACCACUGUUGUGCAUGGAAAGAUCUCCAAACUUGAGCGUUUAGAGGAAGUAAAAGUCGUAACA
rnacentral:rRNA from 1 species